GAUGAACGCUAGCGGCAGGCUUAAUACAUGCAAGUCGAGGGGCAGCAGGUCCCGCAGCAAUGCGGGAUGCUGGCGACCGGCAAACGGGUGCGGAACACGUACAGAACCUUCCUUUAAGUGGGGAAUAGCCCGGGGAAACCCGGAUUAAUACCCCGUAACAUAAUGAAGUGGCAUCACUUUAUUAUUAUAGCAGCACUGCGCUUGAAGAUGGCUGUGCGGCUGAUUAGGUAGUUGGCGGGGUAACGGCCCACCAAGCCUACGAUCAGUAACUGGUGUGAGAGCACGACCAGUCACACGGGCACUGAGGCACGGGCCCGACUCCUACGGGAGGCAGCAGUAAGGAGUAUUGGGCAAUGGACGCAAGUCUGACCCAGCCAUGCCGCGUGGAGGAUGAAGGUCCUCUGGAUUGUAAACUUCUUUUAUCUGGGAAGAAAUCUAUUUUUUCUAAAGUAGUUGACGGUACCAGAUGAAUAAGCACCGGCUAACUCCGUGCCAGCCGCCGCCGUAA
rnacentral:rRNA from 1 species